rnacentral:rRNA from 1 species
GUCGAGAAUUUUUCACAAUGGGCGAAAGCCUGAUGGAGCGACGCCGCGUGGGGGAUGAAUGGCUUCGGCCCGUAAACCCCUGUCAUUCGGGAGCAAUGCAACCGGCAUAAUACGCUGGUUGUUGAUAGUACCGGAAGAGGAAGGGACGGCUAACUCUGUGCCAGCAGCCGCGGUAAUACAGAGGUCCCAAGCGUUGUUCGGAUUCACUGGGCGUAAAGGGUGCGUAGGCGGUCGCAUAAGUCUGAUGUGAAAUCUCGGAGCUCAACUCCGAAACUGCAUUGGAUACUAUGCGGCUCGAGGUUGGGAGGGGGGACUGGAAUUCUCGGUGUAGCAGUGAAAUGCGUAGAUAUCGAGAGGAACACCAGUGGCGAAGGCGAGUCCCUGGACCAAUCCUGACGCUGAGGCACGAAAGCCAGGGGAGCAAACGGGAUUAGAUACCCCGGUAGUCC